AUGAUGGAAUGCUGAUCUUCUUCCUGGUCUCCUUUGUGUACAUCCCAGCCUUCUUGCACAUAGAAACACUACACAGCACUUCAGCUGUAUGUUUGGGGGCCAUUUUAAACAGCAAAAUCAUCAACAGGAAGCAGAAAAUUGUAAAAAUUGUGGCACUAAAUAGACCAUGUAAAGGACACAUGUUUGCAAUAAGAAAGCUGAAACAAGAAGGGGGAGUGUCACCUUAUUUGAUCCAGCUAGAAACUCAGGUGCUGGUAUUCCAGCAACACUCAGGCGGCUGCUCCAGGAGGCUGCAGAGGGGUCCUUUUUAGCCGUCAACAAAACUGGCUAUGGUCACGCCCAUUGGGAAACUCAUUGCUGCCUUCAAGGUUCUGUCAAUAGAAGAUACUAAAGAAAGAAAGCCAGGAGAAGAAAAGGGACUUCUUUCUUCAAGGUCUAAGCUGUUCUAAUAGCAUUAUUCUGGGAAUGGCAUCUUCCACUCCUCCUAGUACAAAGAACCUGCUUCCUCAUACCCCGUCAAGGAACUGCAGCAUCCAGGUGAUGGCCACAGUGGCAGAACCUAGGAAGCCAAGAAGAAACCAGAGAAUGGAGACACAUGGCAGCAAUGGCAAGUCAUCAGACCCAGGAUUUCCCAAAGAACACUGGUCCAGGAAGAUGCUCUGUGAAAAAGUGUUCCCUGGUCGGAGAAAUUUGUGAAACACUUUGCAUAAUACUUAAAAGAAUGUAUGGCACAUCAAAGGUAAUAUGCAAUAAAAGAAUUCAUUUUUUUAAAA
rnacentral:lncRNA from 1 species